UACAGAGGUCCCAAGCGUUGUUCGGAAUUACUGGGCGUAAAGCGCACGUAGGCGGAUAUUUAAGUCAGGGGUGAAAUCCCGGGGCUCAACCCCGGAACUGCCUUUGAUACUGGGUAUCUGGAGGUCGAGAGAGGCGAGUGGAAUUCCGAGUGUAGAGGUGAAAUUCGUAGAUAUUCGGAGGAACACCAGUGGCGAAGGCGGCUCGCUGGCUCGAUACUGACGCUGAGGUGCGAAAGCGUGGGGAGCAAACAGG
rnacentral:rRNA from 1 species